rfam:Populus trichocarpa isolate Nisqually-1 chromosome 12, whole genome shotgun sequence.
UAAUAUGUUUAGGGUGAAUCCUCAUUUAAUUAUGGCAGAGUCGCACCUAGUUAUUCAUAAUCACUCACUACUGUGUGAACUGUUGCGGCUCAAUUUUUUACCUUUUAAAAAAAACCAAAAAUAUCAAAACAACAACAAAACCCAAA